UCAUUAGGAGCUUCGGCUAACCCCUUCACGUCCUGUGAAAACGCCGAAGUCACCACAUCCGUGUGGA
rnacentral:sRNA from 1 species